CUUUUAUGAUGAUUUUUAUUGAUUCUUCUGUACAGCACUUUGGUCCAUUGUGGUUGUUUUAAAGUGCUUAACAAAUAAAGUUGGUUGGUAACACCAUGAUUA